AACGAACGCUGGCGGCAUGCCUAACACAUGCAAGUCGAACGAGACCUUCGGGUCUAGUGGCGCACGGGUGCGUAACGCGUGGGAACCUGCCCUUAGGUUCGGAAUAACUCCCCGAAAGGGGUGCUCAUACCGGAUAAUGUCUUCGGACCAAAGAUUUAUCGCCUUUGGAUGGGCCCGCGUUGGAUUAGCUAGUUGGUAGGGUAAAAGCCUACCAAGGCGACGAUCCAUAGCUGGUCUGAGAGGAUGAUCAGCCACACUGGGACUGAGACACGGCCCAGACUCCUACGGGAGGCAGCAGUGGGGAAUAUUGGACAAUGGGCGAAAGCAUGAUCCAGCAAUGCCGCGUGAGUGAUGAAGGCCUUAGGGUUGUAAAGCUCUUUUACCCGGGAUGAUAAUGACAGUACCGGGAGAAUAAGCUCCGGCUAACUCCGUG
rnacentral:rRNA from 1 species